rnacentral:rRNA from 1 species
UACGAGUGCCCCAAGCGUUACCCGGAUUUACUGGGUGUAAAGGGUGUAUAGGCGGUAGUGUUAGUCUUUUGUUAAAGCCCGGAGCUUAACUCCGGGAAUGCGAGAGAAACGGCACUACUCGAGGGCGCAAGAGGUCUAUGGAACUCAUGGUGUAGGGGUGAAAUCCGUUGAUAUCAUGGGGAACACCAAAGGCGAAGGCAGUAGACUGGUGCGCACCUGACGAUAAGACACGAAAGCGUGGGUAGCGAAUGGG